GGAACUAUUCCAUUCCACUCGGCACUCUCCUUGACAUACAGAGUUUUUAGCUCACACGUUUAUCCAUCCUCCCUCUUCCUCAUUUUCUUCAUCUUCCUUCCUUUUCCUAUAUAAUCUUCUCAUCAAUCCCUUUCUCUGCAACACUUUCUUCCCCUGAUGAGAGUUCGGCAGCUCCCGAAGUUUUUUUCUCCGUCAAUCUUGUUUGGUGGACCAAUAUCAUGAUAGAGAUAUGAUCAGCCGAAGAUAAUCUUCUAUGAUAUGUUACAUGAUUCUAAUAAGAUCGAAGCAUCCGGUGGAACCAACAGCUGCUGGGAAGUUCAGAAAAUAGCAAUCUAUAUGUUGACAGAAGAGAGAGAGCACAACCCGCCAUCGGCUAAAGAGUCUUUGCCUUUGUUGGGAGUGUGCUUUCUCUUCUUCUGUCAUCAUCUUCACACAGCUGCUUGGAGAGAAUCGGCAGAAUGAACGGACAUGAUCUCUUCAGCUUAUAUGAAUUUCUUCCGAGAAAUACGAAUGAAAGAGACUGUUGUCGCCCUCUUCAACUCUUGCAAUGACAAAAAGUAACAACCCUUGAGAGUUUUUUCAGGUAAAUAGCAACUUCUUUUUGAGUUCCCGGUUUCUGCAUGACACAGUUUUCUUAGGAUGCUCACAGAUGAUCAAGUUAUGAUUUUCGUUAUAUGACGCCAUCAUGUGAUCGGCAGCAGCAGAGAAAAGGCCGGUGUUUCGGUUUUAUUAUAAAACAUUAUAAAAGAUGCAGAGAUGUGCUGGGCAAGAGGCAGGACAGAUCCAUUUCUCUGAUGUUGGAGGCGCCAUAAGUUGAUGUUUCAGCUCACUGCGAAGCAAGGAAUGUUGUUCUUCACUUAUGACUCGCUUAAUCAUCGGUUUUCGCAAUCAGAUAGACAUUGUUCGGACGGUUUUGCUAUCUAUCGAACGUUCUGGCGAUGCAGUAAAGUUAGAGGUAACUAGUCUAGUGACUGAUUUCCUGUUUUUGUGCUUCUCAUUUCUCCUGCAUUGUCUUCUCGUAUUUGUCGGGUAUACUGAGCCUGCUGCUCCUCAGUUUUCCUUUCUUUGUUACGAAUACGAACUUAAACACAUUCUAUGA